rnacentral:lncRNA from 1 species
GUCUCCUGAGUCUCAUUUUUAGCUCCUUUUAAUGUAUUCUGUUAACUCUAUGGUCACUUUAUGGCUCUCACAGGGGAGAUGCUGCAGCAGGUGUUGUGUUGCUUUUUCAUGAAGGACUGACCGAUUGUCACCCGUCCAUGUGUGACCCUGGCAGGCGGUGCUGAUGUUGGCUGUGGCUCGGUGCUGUCAGAAGCUGCUGUAGUGCUUUUUGUUAGCUGUUUUGCCAGAGGGAGACUCAUUUUGUAGCUGACUGGGAACAAAGUGAGGCAGGGUCAGGUUAUUUUCUGUCGAGGGGUAGGGCUGGAGCAGGAACCGGCCAGGCUACAGCCCAAAGCUCCCCCUGCUCACCAGCCAACAACAGGCACUUGAGUCAUCUGUAUCUUCCUGAUACAAUGGACCCUCUUCUUUCUCGGCUGCUUUGGUCACUAGGAAAAGAACAAGUGAGAUGAGCCUUUAGAUAGAUGAUACCGUGUUCCAGCUCUCCCUGCUGGAGUGGUUGCAAAGCUGAGGUCUGUGAAGCAGAGGGAUGGAGCUCCCUGUGGUCUGGUCACUUGGCAGCAUCCACAGCGCUGGGAUACACACAGAGAACCGAGAUGAACUUCCAACAUUCCAGCCAUUCUCCAAGGAGGAAAAUUUGACGUUCCAAGUGUCACAGGCUCGUUCCACCUCUGCCGUACCUUCUCUUCUGCCUUCUCUGAUUCAAGACAGCUCAGGAGAAGAUAAUGAUAUCAGGACAAUUAUGCUGAAGGCCCAUCUGUGAGUUUGAAGUUUAAGUAAGGGUGGGCGCUCUGAUGAUAAUUUGCUUGUUUUUC